GAGCUGACACACUCAUACAGAGGGACCUGGGACACAUGCCUCCCUGCAACCUGCUCUGUGUAUUGGUGGCCUUGGCCUUCUCUGGAUGCAAUGUGGCCCAGAAAGUCACUCAGGUCCAGUCAACUGCAAGCAGUCAGUAUGGAGAAGAAGUCACCCUGGACUGUUCAUAUGAGGCAAGUUAUUACUAUUACCAACUCUUUUGGUAUAAGCAGCUUGUUACUGGAGAGAUGAUUUUCCUUAUUAGCCAAGUUUCUUCUUCUACUGAGAAUGAGAGGAAUGGCCGCUAUUCUGUCACAUGGCAGAAAUCAGCCAACUCCAUCAGCCUUGUCAUUUCAGCCUCACAGCUAGAAGAUUCAGGGACAUAUUUCUGUGCGCUCCGAGAAUUGACCCACAGUGUUUGAAGUGACAGCAGAAGUUGAACAAAAACUGGGGCUCCUUAAGAGUUGCCCAUCGCAGGAGCUCAGCUGAGAAGCACACCUGCACAUGCUGAACAGGAAGUCUCACUGUGGAUGCUUCCUCUGUGGUCUGCAUCAGUAGUGUGUUUCUAAGUAAAACCUCAUC